ensembl:rRNA 5S_rRNA 5S ribosomal RNA
UUUUAAACUCAUGCCACCCUGAACAAGCUCGAUCCCAUCUGAUCUCAGAAACUAAGCAGGGUUGGGCCUGGUUAGUACUUGGAUGGGAGACCACCUAGGCAUAUUAGAUGCUGCAGGCGUAAAAA